rfam:Erinaceus europaeus unplaced genomic scaffold scaffold00442, whole genome shotgun sequence
GAGAAGAAGAGAAUGAAGCCAAGACUGUUUUAAAUCACCAUGGUGAAUUCAAAUGAUCUGGCUGGCUAGGUGGGUGUUCCUUUUCUCCCUUAUCACUCCAUGUGUGUCUGUCCUGAAGAUGAAGCUACAUGCUCGCCAAAGAAGAUGAUCACCUAUGAAUAGACAGGGACCAGUCUACAGUGUUGACUGUAUCAUUAGCUGCAUUCCCCCCCUAAGACCUCUAUGCACACUCUCAAGAAAAUGAAGCACCAUAUGAUUUCACUCACAUGUGGUAUAUAGAGAACAAAC